AUGCACGUUUUGUUGUUUCAUAGGGCAUUUGCUCUGUCAAAGAGACUUGUUGACGCCCAGAAGUCUGUCAGACGUGAACAGUUCAGGAUGCAGGCCAAUAGUUCCUUCCUCAUGCCACGGGCAGGGGACGUUGCCCACCAGCGCAGGGCCUCAUCCCACCAGCUGAGCUGACAAGCAUGCAGCUUUCCUUUCUUCAAGAGGAGAAGAGCUGGACAGCCACAUGCAGAUCUAUGUAACAGAUGAGAGUUGCUUAUGAAGACAGAGAUGGAAAGGAAUCAAAAACGCAGCACAGAAACUUGUAAAACCCAUAAAACUGAGGUGAGAAACGUCUUGCUGAAAGCUCACCUACCUGCAGGGAAAGGCCAGACCUCUGAAACUGUCUUUCCCAGAGUAUAAAAGCAGUGUUUCUGCAAGGAGCUGCUAGUAUGGAGCUGCAAAUUUGCUGGGGCUGAGUGCUGGGCCUGGGGGAUAUAUCUCCAUAUCUAGUAUUUUGCUUACUAAGAGCAAGUGAUUCAGGUUGAGGGUGUAUUUGAUGCAGGAAGCCAGCUAGCUUUGAGCCAGCUAAAUCAGGAUAUUGAAGAGCGGGUCCCCGGAGGGCAAGACAAACGAGAGCACAGCCCUGUUGCAUAAAGCCUUCUGGGGACACCUUCAAGCACUUGCCUGUUUCCCACCCGCUGGAUGGGGGAAGCUCCCUGUCCCCAAAGCAGUGCCUGCAGGUGCAGGCUAGGCUCACACAGCUGAGCUGUAAAUCAGCUGCAGCCAGAGGGAAUGGGCAGUGCUGCCCUCUCUUCCUGCAGCUCCCACCAGGCAUGUUAGUCCUGCGAGGGCAUCAACAGUCUUACUCUUGGUGAUGUGAAGACGAGGAGCACUCUCAGCAGAGCUGAAAAGCUCAGGCGCUAGCAAAGGCGUUGGCAUAGCAUCUGGCAGGCUGUCCCAGGGCUGGGAGCCCUGCGUCCCCUAGCAAGGGGCUACACAUCUUUGUGCACAGCUCAUGGGUGAAGUGGUGCUGGACCAUGUGAGACAGUGAUCGCUUAAGAAACCUUCCCUUGCACGAUCUUCCGGCCUGCACGGGCAACGACCAUGAAGCAUGGG
rnacentral:lncRNA from 1 species